rnacentral:rRNA from 1 species
GACGAACGCUGGCGGCGUGCUUAAUACAUGCAAGUCAACGAUUUUUAAGAUAGCAAUAUUUUAAAAAUAGUGGCGCACGGGUGAGUAACACGUAGAUAAUCUGCCUUUAGGUCUGACAUAACUCGUCGAAAGACGGGCUAAUAUCAGAUAAAACAAUAACUUGGCAUCAAGUAAUUGUCAAAAGCUUCGGCGCCCAAAAGAUGAGUCUGCGGACCAUUAGGUAGUUGGUGGAUUAACAGCCCACCAAGCCAACGAUGGAUAGCUGGUCUGAGAGGAUGAUCAGCCACACUGGAACUGAGACACGGUCCAGACUCCUACGGGAGGCAGCAGUAAGGAAUAUUGCU